GCUAAAUGAUUAAGAAGGCUUGCUGUUUUUUUUCGAGGAAAUUCAACUCUAAUUCUAAGGCGUCUGAAGUCAUCAGACACACAGUAAUUGGCUCUCAAGUCAGAGAAGACUACCAGAGAUACCAAGUGUGGUUCUACUCAUUGCAUAUGCCCCAGAAGUGCUAAAACCAUGGUCUAGCUAUUCUCUUUUUAAUCACCGUGUCACUGUAGUAAGCUUUCUUGAGACCUUGGAGGAAGGACAUGGAAACCAGCAUGUGGUUCGUAUCUGUCAAGAUAUGCAAGCUCGCCUCAGCAGCUUUCCUUCCUCUACAUUUCUGGAAAUCCACCUAAUGGUUUUUAAAUCACCAAUGAAACGUUAUGUUGGCAUGAGUGGGAAGCAAAGAACCAAACAUCAUGUGAAACUCUCAGCCUCAAUGGACUGGGGAUUCCAUUUUUAAACACUGUUUUCUUGAAGAAGUUUUGGUAACCCAUGUCUUUGUUCAGACAGAAUCCUACAUUUCAGUUUCCUCAAGAACACUUAUUGCCCUCCCAAGCACUCGUCUCUAAAACAGAGCAUGCAUCUUCACUCAUAGUUGCCUCUUAAGAGUUGUUGAAUUAUACUGUACUGGAAGUUUAAUUUUUUGAUGGAUUUAAGGGCACCUAAAUGCAAGAAGAAAGAACAAUGAAGAGUAUUGUGAUUAUCAACAGCCUUUCAGACAGAUGGUUAUUGAUUUUUAUACAAUUAUAAACCUGAGUGGAAGGAAAUAAUAAGUUAACCAGAAACACACUAGUGGGUCAAGAGAUUAAUUCAUUUGGGAGAAAGGUUAAUUAAUUGGAUGAAUACAUGACAAAGACAUCACAAAGAAAUAUUUUUAAUGAGUCGUUACAGCAUUAGUGAGGAAGAUAAGAGAAAAAUAUGAUAUUUCUGAUUUCACCCUGGGGCUUUAGACUUUGCUAUCAAAUGCAUUCUAGUUUGCUUCUCUGUUGCUAUGAGAAAACACAGACCAAACCAGCUUAGGGGUGGAGAGUGUUUUGUUUGUUUGUUUUAGUUUUUCUCUUUGUUUUGUUUUUGUUUUUGUUUUAUCUUUUUUUAUAGGCUUCAGUCCAUAUCAAGGCAGUAAUGCAAGGCAGAAGAUUGAAGCAAAAACCACCAAGGAACGCUGCUUACUGGUCUACUCCCCUCAUUUGCUUAUUUACCUUGUUUGUACACCCCAGGACCACCUGCCUAGGGAUGGGGAUACCUAGGGAGGACUGAGCCAUUAUAUAUUAGCAACAAAGAAAAUGUUCCCACAGAGCAAUGAUUCUCACCUUUUCUGAUGCUGCAACCCUUUAAAGGAAUGAUUAAUCAUUUCUUCAUGCUGUGUUGACCCUGAACCAUUUCAUUGUUUCACUGAUACUUCAUAACUAAGUUUGAUACUGUUAUGAAUUGUUAUGUAAAUAUCUGUUAAAGGCCCAUUCAGUCCCAAAAGGGUCAUGACCCAAAAGUUGAGAAUUAUUGCCACAGAGGUAUCCAUAGGUUUAUUUGAUGGAGGCAGUUCUUCAACUGAGGCUCCUUCUUCCCAGGUGUGUCAAGCUGACAACCAAGAGUAGUCAUCACAAAAUGUGAGAGAAACAGAUGCUGGUUCCUGACAGACUCUAAGAACUAAGCACCAGCUUUUGCGUACUUGUCGGUUGCUAAUACUUUUUAUACCUGGCCAUCUUCCUUCUUUUCCCCAUUGCCUCCCAAAACCUCUUAUAAAAGAAAUACAGACGUAGUAGAGUCUCUCCUUUAUGGAUUCAAAUGGAUAUGUUGUACUUUUCUGCAGAAUAAACAUUUGGUCUUCAUAAAAAUAACUUUUGGUAACAAAAGAUGUGUUGGAUCAUGUGUUGAAGAGGUCCAUUCGUGAUAUUUGCACACAGACUAUACCUUUUCAGGAAGACUGUAUGAUUUCAAAAACUA
rnacentral:lncRNA from 1 species